UCCGGUGAUCAUGGCGAGAAGGUCACACCCGUUCCCAUCUCGAACACGGAAGUUAAGCUUCUCAGCGCCGAUGGUAUUGAAGGCCUUGCCUUUGUGAGAGUAGGACGUUGCCGGGC
rnacentral:rRNA from 1 species